rnacentral:rRNA from 1 species
UACGGAGGAUGCGAGCGUUAUCCGGAUUUAUUGGGUUUAAAGGGUGCGUAGGCGGACUGUCAAGUCAGCGGUAAAAUACGGGGGCUCAACCUCCGCCCGCCGUUGAAACUGACGGUCUCGAGCGGGCGAGAAGUAUGCGGAAUGCGUGGUGUAGCGGUGAAAUGCAUAGAUAUCACGCAGAACUCCGAUUGCGAAGGCAGCAUACCGGCGCCCAACUGACGCUGAAGCACGAAAGCGUGGGUAUCGAACAGG